UUAAGCAUAUCAUUAAGCGGAGGAAAAGAAACUAACCAGGAUUCCCUUAGUAACGGCGAGUGAACAGGGAAAAGCCCAGCACCGAAGCCUGUGGCCGUUUGGUCUCUAGGCAAUGUGGUGUUCAGGUCAGCUCGCAGAGAUACUGCUCCACCCUAAGUCCUGUAAUGAGUAAGGUUACUGGAGCGGCCCACAGAGGGUGAAAGGCCCGUGGGGGUGGAGAUGCAGAUGAGUCAGUGUCUCUAUGAGUGGACCUUGGAGUCGGGUUGUUUGUGAAUGCAGCCCAAAGUGGGUGGUAAACUCCAUCCAAGGCUAAAUACUGGCACGAGUCCGAUAGCGAACAAGUACCGUGAGGGAAAGUUGAAAAGUACUUUGAAGAGAGAGUAAACAGUGCGUGAAACCGCUCAAAGGUAAACGGGUGGAGUUGAACUGCAAGCUCCGGGAAUUCAACUGGUGAGUGUGAUGUGAGCUUGGCACAUAGUUGUACAUCUGGGUCUGCUUAGCUGCAGGUCUCCGCCUCUGGUGGGGAUGCGCGAAUCACUUAUCAUGUGUUGUGCGCCCGGGCUGUGUCGAACUGGCUCGCCAGUGCACUUUCUCGGAGUAGUCACCACGACCGGCGUUGCUGCCUUGCUGUUGCGGUUAAACCGGCCUUGUAGGGUCCCUGUGGCCUUGCUUGGUCGGGAUGGCAGGUAGCCCGUUGUGUACUUUUGUGCGCCUCGGGUGUAAUAGCUGACUGCAUCGGUUUUGUGCGGUACGUCGGAGACGGCGGCUUGUUGUGCGUGCGUGCGUACCUUGUGCGCUGGCGGCGCUGGGUCCGGUUGCCAUGUUGCUUGUGAAUGCAGGCCUGGUGAUGGCUCGGUGUUGUUCGGUGUGCGGAUGCGUGUGUGGCACUUAAAGGG
rnacentral:rRNA from 1 species